GAUGAAGAACGUAGUGAAAUGCGAUAAGUAGUGUGAAUUGCAGAAUUCAGUGAAUCAUCGAAUCUUUGAACGCACAUUGCGCCCCUUGGUAUUCCGAGGGGCAUGCCUGUUCGAGCGUCAUUAUAACCCUCAAGCUCAGCUUGGUGUUGGGGCCUGCUGCACUGGCAGCCCUUAAAAUCAGUGGCGGCGCCAUCUGGCUCUAAGCGUAGUAAUUCUUCUCGCUAUGGAGUCCUGGUGGAUGCUUGCCAUCAACCCCCAAUUUUUCUAUGGUUGACCUCGGAUCAGGUAGGGAUACCCGCUGAACUUAAGCAUAUCAAUAAGCGGAGGA
rnacentral:misc_RNA from 1 species